rnacentral:rRNA from 1 species
UACGUAGGCAGCGAGCGUUGUUCGGAGUUACUGGGCGUAAAGAGCUUGUAGGCGGUUUGUCGCGUCUGCUGUGAAAAUCCGAGGCUCAACCUCGGACUUGCAGUGGGUACGGGCAGACUAGAGUGUGGUAGGGGAGACUGGAAUUCCCGGUGUAGCGGUGAAAUGCGCAGAUAUCGGGAGGAACACCGGUGGCGAAGGCGGUUCUCUGGGCCUUACCUGACGCUGAGGAGCGAAAGCGUGGGGAGCGAACAGG